rnacentral:rRNA from 1 species
GACGAACGCUGGCGGCGUGCUUAACACAUGCAAGUCGAACGGAAAGGCCCUGCUUUUGUGGGGUGCUCGAGUGGCGAACGGGUGAGUAACACGUGAGUAACCUGCCCUUGACUUUGGGAUAACUUCAGGAAACUGGGGCUAAUACCGGAUAGGAGCUCCUGCUGCAUGGUGGGGGUUGGAAAGUUUCGGCGGUUGGGGAUGGACUCGCGGCUUAUCAGCUUGUUGGUGGGGUAGUGGCUUACCAAGGCUUUGACGGGUAGCCGGCCUGAGAGGGUGACCGGCCAAAUGGGGAUGGAGAUACGCCCAGGCCCCCGCGGGGGGGCAGCAGGGGGGAUUAUGGAAGAGGGGGCGGAGGCCGGAUGCAGAAACGCCGGGGGGGGGAGGAGGGCCUUGGGGUUGUAAACCGCUUUCGCCGGUGACGAAGGGGGAGUGACGGUAAUGGGUAAAGAAGCACCGGCUAACUCCGUG